AAAACUGCAAUCCUAAACCUGCAUCAGCACAGAAUUUCUCCUGAGAUAAAUCUUUAAGUCAACCAUGGAACAGAAGGCGAAUGAGUGUCCCACCACCACUUCUCCUCAGAAGCACAUGAAGAACAGGUCCAAAUCCACAGAGGAGAUGCAACAGACAAAGAAGGCCUUUUCCUCACAAAAAUCCCUCCCAGGUAGACCAGAGCUGGACAAAGUGAAGGAGUGUCCUGAUGGCUCUGAUACACCUACAUCCUCCACAGAGGAACUAAAAUGAUAAAAGGAAGGGCCAGCAGGACAUUAGCGUUGCCAUCAAGCUACAAGAUCAUCAAAGACACAACAUGCAUAAAAAUGUACAUAUGUACACAGGGAAACAUACAAAAUAUGAUAGUGAUAAUAGUGAACUAGAUUAUAAAACAUGCAAACAAUCAAUUUGUGAUUUGUUGAAGGAUACUGUAUAAAAAUGUUAAAUUGAACACACACAAGUUAAUGCACACUGAAACAAUCGCAUGUAAACAAAAGGACACCUGUGAUGAUGCUAUUUCAUUGUACUGUGAGUGUCGUAUACAUACCACACUGAAUGUGUAUUGACA